rnacentral:piRNA from 1 species
UGGGCUCGCUCUGUGGCUCUCAGGGAGGC